rnacentral:rRNA from 1 species
GACGAACGCUGGCGGCGUGCUUAACACAUGCAAGUCGAACGGUGAAGCGCCUUCCUUUUUGGUGGGUGUGGAUGAGUGGCGAACGGGUGAGUAACACGUGAGUAACCUGCCCCCUUCUUCUGGAUAACCGCAUGAAAGUGUGGCUAAUACGGGAUAUUCUGGGUCUGUCGCAUGAUGGGUCUGGGAAAGAUAUUGUUUCGGUGGGGGAUGGGCUCGCGGCCUAUCAGCUUGUUGGUGGGGUGAUGGCCUACCAAGGCGGUGACGGGUAGCCGGCCUGAGAGGGUGGACGGUCACACGGGGACUGAGACACGGCCCAGACUCCUACGGGAGGCAGCAGUGGGGAAUAUUGCACAAUGGGCGAAAGCCUGAUGCAGCGACGCCGCGUGAGGGAUGGAGGCCUUCGGGUUGUGAACCUCUUUCGCCAGUGAAGCAGGCCUGCCUCGUUUGUGGGUGGGUUGACGGUAGCUGGAUAAGAAGCGCCGGCUAACUACGUG